rnacentral:rRNA from 1 species
GACGAACGCUGGCGGCGUGCUUAACACAUGCAAGUCGAACGGAAAGGCCCUGCUUUUGUGGGGUGCUCGAGUGGCGAACGGGUGAGUAACACGUGAGUAACCUGCCCUUGACUUUGUGAUAACUUCAGGAAACUGGGGCUCAUACCGGAUAGGAUCUCCUGCUGCAUGGUGGGGGUUGGAAAGUUUCGGCGGUUGGGGCUCGACUCGCGGCUUAUGCGCUUGUUUGUGGGGUAGUGGCUUACGAAGGGUUUGACGGGUAGCCGGCCUUAGAGGGUGACCGGCCACAUGGGGACUGAGAUACGGCCCAGACUCCUACGGGAGGCAGCAGGGGGGAAUAUGGCAGAAUGGGCGGAAGCCUGAUGCAGCAACGCCGCGUGCGGGAUGACGGCCUUCGGGUUGUAAACAGCUUUCGACUGUGACGAAGAGUGAGUGACGGUAAUGGGUAAAGAAGCACCGGCUAACUACGUG